CAACCCUUUGUGAACAUACCUAUAACUGUUGCUUCGGCGGGUAGGGUCUCCGUGACCCUCCCGGCCUCCCGCCCCCGGGCGGGUCGGCGCCCGCCGGAGGAUAACCAAACUCUGAUUUAACGACGUUUCUUCUGAGUGGUACAAGCAAAUAAUCAAAACUUUUAACAACGGAUCUCUUGGUUCUGGCAUCGAUGAAGAACGCAGCGAAAUGCGAUAAGUAAUGUGAAUUGCAGAAUUCAGUGAAUCAUCGAAUCUUUGAACGCACAUUGCGCCCGCCAGCAUUCUGGCGGGCAUGCCUGUUCGAGCGUCAUUUCAACCCUCAAGCUCUGCUUGGUGUUGGGGCCCUACAGCUGAUGUAGGCCCUCAAAGGUAGUGGCGGACCCUCCCGGAGCCUCCUUUGCGUAGUAACUUUACGUCUCGCACUGGGAUCCGGAGGGACUCUUGCCGUAAAACCCCCAAUUUUCCAAAGGUUGACCUCGGAUCA
rnacentral:misc_RNA from 1 species